CCCUUAGAUGUUCUGGGCCGCACGCGCGCUACACUGAUGCAUUCAACGAGCCUAUCCUUGACCGACAGGUCCGGGUAAUCUUUGAAUCUGCAUCGUGACGGGGAUAGAUUACUGCAAUUAUUAAUCUUCAACGAGGAAUGCCUAGUAGGCGCAAGUCAUCAGCUUGCGUCGAUUACGUCCCUGCCCUUUGUACACACCGCCCGUCGCUCCUACCGAUUGGGUGUGCUGGUGAAAUGUUCGGAUCGGCCGUUUGUCGCGGUUUCCGCGUCAUGUGGCUGAGAAGUUCAUUAAACCCUCCCACCUAGAGGAAGGAGAAGUCGUAACA
rnacentral:rRNA from 1 species